rnacentral:lncRNA from 1 species
AUGCAGCCUAUAAUCCCUAUAAUCCGUACUUCAUGCUUCUUACAUCGUGAAACGAAAAACGGGGCGAAAUGGGCAUGGGCGAAACAAAUGGUUGCUAAUUUCUACUUUUAUUCCUGUGAUUUCAAAUACCAAAUUGAACUUCGUAUUUUAUGUAGAUUCAUACUGUCAGAGUCAGACUGUCAGUCAUUCCAACAACUGAACAAGUUUACUUAGCCGCUCAGUCACUUUCCAUCCAUUAGAUCUUCAUGCUGUCAAAAGCCUAAAACUCAUCUUUGAAGCACACAUAUUGUGCUUGUUUAUAGUGGAAUAAAAAGGUGCCGAGAUAAGCCAUAGGAUCUUUUCUGAAUCUCGCAGUUUGGUGGUGUAACCUGCAACAGCAUGUUUGUUGUUAUGGCUGUUUCUACUUCUGUUUAAGAGGCAACCCAGCUGAGGCUGAGGGAUAGUUUCAGUGACAUGAAGAGUGUGAAGUGAAUAACCUGCAAUGUACAUUUACCAGAUCUGUACAUGAUUGUAUGUACAUGAGUACAGACAUAUCUGCAAACACGAAGGUUAUGAAUUUCGUUCUUGUGUUCAAUGGUGCUGGUUGCAGCUACUGGCCUUUUGCGACGUCUUGAUAUCAGUUUGGAAUAAUAGCUGGACUCUGGGGAAUCCUCACUCACACUUGAGUUAAUUAAGGCGUCGUGCUGCUGUACUACUUACUAGUAGUUACCAACGGCAUUCCUCUCUUAUUAUAAUCAGUUUGAAUCACUCCAGAUUAUUACACCAAACUUAUGCUGCCCCAAGUUAAUACACCAAAUCCCCGAAGUAUUAUUCGUCCCCGAGCUACGCUACCAAGGGGUCAAGUACUACACCGAGGCUCUGAAGUACUACAUAAUCAAGGCACCGGAGUACUACACAACUACGUAUGCUGCCCCAGCUUACUACACCGAGGCUCCCAAGUACUACACCACCAUGGCACUGUUGUACUGCACAACUACAUAUCAUGGUCGUAUAUAAUGGGAAAUAAAUCAGUCGAGUGUGCAUCUCCGAUACGGCAACAGCAACUGCAGUGCUAAGGCUCAGACUAUUACACCACUACUUAUGUUGCCCCGAAAUACUACACCAAAGCGCCUGAGUACUAUACCGAGGCCACUAAUUACUACACCACCAAGGCACCGCAGUACUACAUCACUACACAUCAUGGUCGUAUUAAAGGAGAGAAAAGGUGACGAGUGAGCAACUCCGUUACAGCAACUGCCAUGCACUAUUCAUUCUUGAAUAGUCACCAAUUUCAUUCUUCGUCGCAUUACAAGUUUUAAUAAAGUAAACUAUGGUGUCGUGCUGAAGUUGGGUGUCGUAUCGUUGAUGGCUGGGUCGACCACUGGUGUACCGAUGUUUCCUGGGUAUGGCGGGUACCAAAGCACAACACUGCCGUGCCGUGCAUCCGGUAACAUGAUUGGAUGGCGCGAUGAAGUGGCAUAUUGUACAUUGCUGGUGAGAUUUUGGUAAAAUGUUAUUGUUGCUUUGUUGUUUUGCAUUCACAAAUUAUCUUGAAUUGUUUCACGAGGGUAUUAUGUAAAGGUUGAAAAGAGAAUUACCACAUAAAAAAAAAACAGAUAAGAGAUUAAAUAUGAAAAGUUGAAAAAUACAGUUAUUUAUGCAUAUUA